rnacentral:rRNA from 1 species
UACGUAGGGUGCAAGCGUUAAUCGGAAUUACUGGGCGUAAAGCGUGCGCAGGCGGUUUUGUAAGUCUGUCGUGAAAUCCCCGGGCUCAACCUGGGAAUUGCGAUGGAGACUGCAAGGCUAGAAUCUGGCAGAGGGGGGUGAGAAUUCCACGUGUGAGCAGUGAAAUGCGUAGAGAUGUGGAGGAACACCGAUGGCGAAGGCAGCCCCCUGGGU